rnacentral:tRNA from 1 species
ACCUGGGUGGCUCGGUUGGUUGAGCAUCUGACUUCGGCUCAGGUCAUGAUCUCAUAGCUCGUGAGUUCGAGCCCCACUUUGGGCU